rnacentral:lncRNA from 1 species
CACACACACACACACACACACAUGCACACACACAGAAGAGCCAAGCAGCUGACUCACACACCAUGCCGCAGUUGCCUUGACUUUGUUCACGUAGGCUCAGCAGCUUGAGACUGCAGCCCCAGAAUCGGCAGUGUCCUCAGUUGGCACCCAGAGGAGCUGUUGCAUUCUCCCCUUUAUUGUGGAGAUGGCUGCAGCAGGUGCUCUUGUCCUGGGGGAAGACAGCCAUUGAGAUUGGCAGAGGCUUAAGUAUGAAGUCAAAGGCAACACCUGAUAUCAGAAAGGGCCCAGGCAGCAGUGGGGAAGUCCUCAGCUGGAUCUUUGAGCCUUGGACGGAAUCAGCAGCAGGGGCUACUCUGAGCUUCCUCACAGCCUGGAGGUCUCCGGGGAGUAGACCUGCUUGUAUGGCAACUGAAGACCAAGAGAAAGAGUCCCAUGUGCUACAGACAGAAUGCUCGUGUGCCUCCGAAUUCAUAUGUUGAAACCCUAAUCCCCAAUGUGAUGGUAUUUGAAGAUGGGGAAGUUUGGGAGGUGAUUAGAGGUCAUGAGGGUCGAGCCCACCUGGUGGGAUUUGUGCACUUAUAAGAAGAGACCAGAGAGCCCCAUCUCUGUCUACCCCCUCCCUCCCUCUCUCUCCACCUGUCAUAUCAGGACAUAGCAAGAAGAUGGCCAUCUGCAAACCAGGAAGAGUGUUCUCACCAGACACCUGAUCUGCUAGCACCUUGAUCUUGGACUCCUCAGCCUCCAGAACUGUGAAACAUAAAUGUUCAUUGUUCAAGCCACCCCAUCUAUGGCAAUGUGUAACAGCAGCCCAAACUAACUAAUACACCAUGUUUCUGUACAUCAGCAAUGAAAAAUCCAAAAGGAAAUGAAGAAAAUAAUUCCAUUUACAGUAGUACAUAAAAGAAUAAAAUAUCUAUCAAUAAAUUUAACCCAGGAAGUGAAAGACUUGUAUACAGAAAACUACAAAACAUUGCAUAUAGAAAUUAAAGAAGACCUAAAUAAAUGGAAAGUUCACUUUCACCACCUGCCAUUGGUCAAAAUACUCAUAAAACCCUGCCCAGUUUCAAGGGGAGUGGACAAAGACAUCCCCAUAACCUGCCAUCUCUCAGUAGCGAACACCACAAAG